AUGCACGCUGGCGGCGUGCCUCAUACCUUCAAGUCGAGCGAACGGACGAGAAGCUUGCUUCUCUGAUGUUAGCGGCGGACGGGUGAGUAACACGUGGAUAACCUACCUAUAAGACUGGGAUAACUUCGGGAAACCGGAGCUAAUACCGGAUGAUAUUUUGAACCGCAUGGUUCAAAAGUGAAAGACGGUCUUGCUGUCACUUAUAGAUGGAUCCGCGCUGCAUUAGCUAGUUGGUAAGGUAACGGCUUACCAAGGCAACGAUGCAUAGCCGACCUGAGAGGGUGAUCGGCCACACUGGAACUGAGACACGGUCCAGACUCCUACGGGAGGCAGCAGUAGGGAAUCUUCCGCAAUGGGCGAAAGCCUGACGGAGCAACGCCGCGUGAGUGAUGAAGGUCUUCGGAUCGUAAAACUCUGUUAUUAGGGAAGAACAUAUGUGUAAGUAACUGUGCACAUCUUGACGGUACCUAAUCAGAAAGCCACGGCUAACUACGUG
rnacentral:rRNA from 1 species